rnacentral:rRNA from 1 species
UACGGAGGGUGCAAGCAUUAAUCGGAUUUAUUGGGCGUAAAGGGCGCGUAGGCGGGCUGUUAAGUCAGAUGUGAAAUCCCGGGGCUCAACCUCGGAACAGCAUUUGAAACUGGCGGUCUUGAGGGUAGGCGGAGAAAACGGAAUUCCACAAGUAGCGGUGAAAUGCGUAGAUAUGUGGAAGAACACCGGUGGCGAAGGCGGUUUUCUAGCUUACUCCUGACGCUGAGGCGCGAAAGCAAGGGGAUCAAACAGG